UGCCAGCAGCCGCGGUGAUACGGAGGGUCCAAGCGUUAUCCGGAUUUAUUGGGUUUAAAGGGUGCGCAGGCGGAACUUUAAGUCAGUGGUGAAAUCUUGCCGCUUAACUGUAGAACUGCCAUUGAUACUGUUUUUCUUGAGUAUAGAUGAAGUGGGCGGAAUAUAUCAUGUAGCGGUGAAAUGCAUAGAUAUGAUAUAGAACACCGAUUGCGAAGGCAGCUCACUAAACUAUUACUGACGCUCAGGGACGAAAGCGUGGGGAGCGAACAGGAUUAGAUA
rnacentral:rRNA from 1 species